UCGGGAGUACAUCAGUGGCGGACGGCUGAGUAAUGCAUAGGUAACGUGCCUUUUACAGGGGGAUAACACCGGGAAACUGGUGCUAAUACCGCAUAAGUGCCAAGUUGAAACACUUGUCAUUAAAGUCGCAAGACGGUAAAAGAUCGGCCUGUGUCGGAUUAGCUUGUUGGUGAGGUAAUGGCUCACCAAGGCAGUGAUCCGUAGUUGGUCUGAGAGGAUGACCAGCCAGAGUGGGACUGAGACACGGCCCACACUCCUACGGGAGGCAGCAGUAGGGAAUAUUGCGCAAUGGACGAAAGUCUGACGCAGCAACACCGCGUGAAGGAUGAAGCUUUUCGGAGUGUAAACUUCUGUCGGCAGGGAAUAAUAAUGACUGUACCUGCAAAGGAAGCAUCGGCUAACUACGUGCCAGCAGCCGCGGUAAUACGUAGGAUGCAAGCGUUGUCCGGAAUUAUUGGGCGUAAAGAGUUUGUAGGCGGUUGCUUAAGUCUGUCGUUAAAGGUCGGAGCUCAACUCCGGU
rnacentral:rRNA from 1 species